UCACUUUUUUAAAAAAUUGAGGAAGGUUGAAUUCACAUUCCAUAUCAACAUUUGGUGAAAUCUUCCACUUAGCCAGUUCCUUGACAAUUCUGCUCCAGUCUUCCUUUCCACAAUCUCCUUUCCAGUUGUUCCACAUCUGGUUGCUUUCUCCCACCCACUUUCUACAAGAUUUCCCACUCUCCUCUCUGCCCUCUUUACCCAUUUUCAUUACAUUCUUUACAACAGAUGUCUGGCCAACGUUGAAAAUGUUUCCAAGAAAAUUCAUUCUACUCUUAUUACUAACAUCAUCAGAAAGGACUUUUGAACAGUUAAAAAUGUCAAUGCAUUGUUUGAGAAGCUGGAAGUAAUGCCUCUGGAAGUGUUCAAGUAAAGGAACCUAAUUUAACACAGCUUAGCAUUUGAAGAAGACUAAGAUUUGUUUGUUCAAAUAAACAGGGAAGUGUAAAGCCAGUGGGGAUCAUAUGACCAAGGCAGUGAAACAAGGGCUUCAUGAUAAAUAUGCCAUGGACAAAGGUCAAGCAAAGGAUAAUAACUCAAUUCCUUAAAUGAAAGCUUCAAAGUAAAUCUUCUGUGUUUAACAGCAGUAUACAGGGGUCAAGAUUACAAUGUCCCAGACUAGAGAAUAAAAUGUGUGUUAAUA